rnacentral:rRNA from 1 species
UACGAAGGGGGCUAGCGUUGCUCGGAAUCACUGGGCGUAACGCGCACGUAGGCGGAUUGUUAAGUCAGGGGUGAAAUCCUGGAGCUCAACUCCAGAACUGCCUUUGAUACUGGCAAUCUCGAGUCCGGGAGAGGUGAGUGGAACUGCGAGUGUAGAGGUGAAAUUCGUAGAUAUUCGCAAGAACACCAGUGGCGAAGGCGGCUCACUGGCCCGGUACUGACGCUGAGGUGCGAAAGCGUGGGGAGCAAACAGG